UGUUUUGUUGUAAAUAGCUGUGAAUGGGUUUGUUAAUAUUUUCGUUUGAGACACCUUCGUUUUGGGUUGUUGUUGUUGUGUUGACAGAGUGACUAUUUGGCUGCUCAGUUAAUAGUGUCUGGUAGAGGCAAAGUGAGUGAAGAGAUGAUAGCAGCUGUGGAGUUCACAAACCCCUUCAGCUUCAACCUGGAGAACGUCUACAUUCGCAUGGAAGGACCUGGGAUGAUGGAGCCAAAGUCCAGGUAUUACAGGUUGGUCAUAGGAGGCUCU